rnacentral:sRNA from 1 species
CGAGAUGGCUCAAAGAGGAUUAGUUG